rnacentral:sRNA from 1 species
UGACCACAUCCACUUACGGACGUUAAGGCCAUACGGACAGCCGGGUCAAAUGCCGA